GACGAACGCUGGCGGCGUGCCUAAUACAUGCAAGUCGUGCGGACCUUUUAAAAGCUUGCUUUUAAAAGGUUAGCGGCGGACGGGUGAGUAACACGUGGGCAACCUGCCUGUAAGACUGGGAUAACGCCGGGAAACCGGGGCUAAUACCGGAUAGUUUUUUCCUCCGCAUGGAGGAAAAAGGAAAGGCGGCUUCGGCUGCCACUUACAGAUGGGCCCGCGGCGCAUUAGCUAGUUGGCGGGGUAACGGCCCACCAAGGCAACGAUGCGUAGCCGACCUGAGAGGGUGAUCGGCCACAUUGGGACUGAGACACGGCCCAAACUCCUACGGGAGGCAGCAGUAGGGAAUCUUCCGCAAAGGACGAAAGUCUGACGGAGCAACGCCGCGUGAGUGAAGAAGGCCUUCGGGUCGUAAAACUCUGUUGCCGGGGAAGAACAAGUGCCGUUCGAAUAGGGCGGCGCCUUGACGGUACCCGGCCAGAAAGCCACGGCUAACUAC
rnacentral:rRNA from 1 species